UUUGGGAAGAUAAUGACGGUACCAGAGGAAUCAGCAUCGGCUAACUUCGUGCCAGCAGCCGCGGUAAUACGAGGGAUGCAAGCGUUAUCCGGAAUUAUUGGGCGUAAAGCGUUCGUAGGUGGCUAGAUAAGUCUGUCGUCAAAGCAUGGAGCUUAACUCCAUUAAGGCGAUGGAAACUGUUUGGCUAGAGUGUGGUAGGGGUAACAGGAAUUCCCAGUGUAGCGGUGAAAUGCGUAGAUAUUGG
rnacentral:rRNA from 1 species